rnacentral:ncRNA from 19 species
AAACAGCCGGGCGACUGGUCCUCAUCCAGAGGCGGAGUUCACCGCCGGGGAGCCUGAGCAGCUGUUCCAUUCUUGCCGCCGUGGGCCUGGGCGGCAAAC